rnacentral:tRNA from 1 species
GGGGCUGUAGCUCAGUGGCAGAGCGCUUGCCUAGAGUGCAUGAGGCACUGGGUUUGAUCCUCAGCACCA